CAGAGAUAAAAGACAGGGGCUGUCUGCACAUGAGCAGCAACCCCGGAAAGUCUGGAGCGAUUGCAAACCUAAGAGCAAAUACCAGUCAGCAAAACAGUGCUGCUAUUAAGAACGCUAACACAGUGAUGCAGUAACAGGAGGGUGACAGGCCAAAACCAGGAAAAGGCACCCAAGAUGUUAACCACAUUCUUGGAUUCCUGGGCACCCUCCAGUUUCUGACCUUGUUCUCCUAAACUCCAGCCUGCAACUCUCUGUGAAAAUGCAAAUAGCAAAAUGGGGAUAAUAUGUUACCGAAUACAGGAAAAGCAGAAGGAAACAUUCAGAUUGUCAUGAGACAAGCUAUUCCGUUUACUGAGUGCUGAAAACUAAGAGCGGCAGAUAGACUGGGUAACAUGGAGGAUCAGAAGGGAAAACAAGCAUAAAAAAUGUUACAUUAAUUGGGGCUGUCCCCGUGGCCCAGUGGUUAAGUUCGUGCGCUCCGCUGCAGGCGGCCCAGUGUUUCGAAUCCUGGGCGUGGACCUGACACUGCUCAUCAAACCACGCUGAGGCAGCGUCCCACAUGCCACAACUGGAAGGCCCACAAUGAAGAAUAUACAACUAUGUACUGGAGGGCUUUGGGGAGAAAAAGGAAAAAAGUAAAAUCUUUAAAAAAAGAAAUGUUACAUUAAGAUAUGAUUUUGCGUGGUAACUGAAAUGGAAACAUGAAUCUAAGAUGUGAAAGAAAUAAAAUAAAAUUUCUGACUUAGAGGAAAGCCUGCUUAUGUAACUUUAAAAAUAGAUUUGUUUGCUAUGAUAUUUAGGUACUUUUGGAUACUUUUUACAAAGUGGUCUAGCUGUUUCAUUUAAUAAAUGCUAAUUGUUACAAUAUAACAGAAAUUGUCUUCUUUGCAACCAAUUAAACAUGAUGAAAAGUCUUUUAGCCAAUAUGUAAGCAAACAUUUUUGAAGACCUACCACACUAUGCUCUUUCUUCCCUGAAAUGUGAUUGUACUUAUUCUGUUUACAUCUGUCCAAGCACAUUAAUGUAGCCCAUCUUGUAUUAACUAAUUUAUUCUUCUUCCUCUGUCUUAUCUCCAUCUGGAUCAGCUAUGGUGUCCAGCUCCAUGCUGGAUUCAUAGCACAAUGUGGACUCAAUAUAAUUUUCAUAUGAGAGUCAUCUGAAAAACAGAUAAUAAACUCAGAUACAGAAAUAUCUGCUGAUUUCUCACUGUUUUUCUCAUCUUCAGAGAGUGUCCUAUUUUUGGCCCUUCCCCCCCACUUCGCUGAUGACUUGAAUUUCCAUAGCCCUCUCACCACCUUUUACAAUCUCUUAAUCAUUCCUCUUUCAAAGCAUUUGAAUUUAGGUUUAGUAUUGGGUGACUACCAAGUGAAUCAUUUGGAUUGUGAAAAAUAACCCUAGAUCAAUUUAUUUUAUUUCUCCAGUACACUGUUUCAAGUCUCUUUUACUUCUUCCUUUAUGAGGGUAUUUCUCUGGCACAGUUUCCAACUGAUAGGAGAUCUCUAGAAAAGAGUGUUAAAUUAAAGAUAUCAGUUACUGGCUUAUGUCUUAAUGAAACAGUUAGCUUAAGAAGCUUUAGAUUUAAAUUAUUCACCCGGAACAAUUAUGCUGUCUUACGCAAGGCAGUUCACCAACUUCCCUAUAAGUAAUUGGCUGAAACUGAAAGUCUGAGGCACCUCCAUUAACAGAUUGAUUAGAGACGUUAUUGGUCCUGGAAGGGGCAGUUCUUUUAGGCAAAGUUGGGUUCAGUGCUUUGAACAGUAUUAAGACUUAAACUUAUAAAAUGAGUGUUAAAUUAAUUUACAGUGGAGCUCAUAUUACCAAUCAAAGAAUCAAUGGCCAAACUGAUUUGAGGGAUGGUCUUAUUAUGAUCUACUAUAGAUCAAAGAGAUUUCUAUUAUGUGACAAAAUUUCCAUGGUGCCCAUUUAUUCUCCUUCCAUGAAUUGUACUAGUGCCAUCAUGUCUUUCAUUCUUUGUGCGUGUGUGUAUGUGUGUGAGGAAGAUUGGCAUGAGCUAACAACUGUGCCAAUCUUCCUCUAUUUUAUGUGUGAUGCCACCACAGUAUGGCUUGAGCUGCAGUGGGUGGUCCACUCUGGGGAUCCGAAUCUGUGAAUCCCAGACCCUGGAAGUGGAGCAUGGGAACUUAGCCACUACACCAUUGCGGGCCCCAUGUCUUUUGUAUUUUAAAAAGAGAUUUCUUAUUCCAUAUACAGAAAUUAUUGUAGGUCAACAAAUUAUCAUGUUUUUCUUCUUGUGGCUUAGAGAACACAAGUGAUCACUCCAUCCAUUCCUGUAU
rnacentral:lncRNA from 1 species